rnacentral:rRNA from 1 species
UGAACGCUGGCGGUAUGCUUAACACAUGCAAGUCGAACGGUAACAUAGAGAGCUUGCUCUCUGAUGACGAGUGGCGGACGGGUGAGUAAUGCAUAGGGAACUGCCAAGUAGUGGGGGACAACAUGUGGAAACGCAUGCUAAUACCGCAUACGCCCUACGGGGGAAAGAUGGCCUCUUCUUGAAAGCUAUCACUAUUUGAUGUACCUAUGUCUGAUUAGCUAGUUGGUGGGGUAAAGGCUCACCAAGGCGACGAUCAGUAGCUGGUCUGAGAGGAUGAUCAGCCACACUGGGACUGAGACACGGCCCAGACUCCUACGGGAGGCAGCAGUGGGGAAUAUUGGACAAUGGGCGCAAGCCUGAUCCAGCAAUACCGCGUGUGUGAAGAAGGCCCGAGGGUCGUAAAGCACUUUCAAUAGUGAAGAUUGGAGUAAUGGCUAAUAUCCAUUAUUUUUGACGUUAACUAUACAAGAAGCACCGGCUAACUCA